rnacentral:rRNA from 1 species
GGGGAAUAUUGCACAAUGGGCGCAAGCCUGAUGCAGCGACGCCGCGUGGGGGAUGACGGCCUUCGGGUUGUAAACCUCUUUCAGUAGGGACGAAGCGCAAGUGACGGUACCUACAGACGAAGCACCGGCCAACCACGUGCCAGCAGCCGCGGUACUACGUAGGGUGCGAGCGUCGUCCGGAAUUACUGGGCGUAAAGAGCUCGUAGGUGGGUUGUCGCGUUGUUCGAGAAGUCUCACAGCUUAACUGU